AGCGGCCGCGGUAAUUCCAGCUCCAAUAGCGUAUAUUAAAGUUGUUGCAGUUAAAAGGCUCGUAGUUGAAUUUUAGGCCUGGCCGGACGGUCCGUCUCUGGCGAGUACUGUUCUGUCGUCGGGUCUAUCCUUCUGGUGAGCCGGCAUGUUCUUAAUUGGGCGUGUCGGGGAACCAGGACCAUUACCUUGAAAAAAUUAGAGUGUUUAAAGCAGGCUUUUGCUUGAAUAGAUUAGCAUGGAAUAAUAGAAUAGGACGUUGUGGUUCUAUUUUGUUGGUUCUAGGACCACCGUAAUGAUUAAUAGGGAUAGUUGGGGGCAUUAGUAUUCAAUUGUCAGAGGUGAAAUUCUUGGAUUUAUUGAAGACUAACUACUGCGAAAGCAUUUGCCAAGGAUGUUUUCAUUAAUCAAGAACGAAAGUUAGGGGAUCGAAGACGAUCAGAUACCGUCGUAGUCUUAACCAUAAACUAUGCCGACUAGGAAUCGGGCGACGUUAUUUUCACGACUCGCUCGGCGCCUUAUG
rnacentral:rRNA from 1 species